rnacentral:miRNA from 1 species
UAUUGGGUUGGCCAAAAAAUUCAUUUGGAUUUUUCUAUAAGAUGACAUGGGAAAACCCAAACAAACUUUUUGGACAGCCCAAUA